rnacentral:rRNA from 1 species
GUUUGAUCAUGGCUCAGAUUGAACGCUGGCGGCAGGCCUAACACAUGCAAGUCGAACGGUAACAGGAAGCAGCUUGCUGCUUCGCUGACGAGUGGCGGACGGGUGAGUAAUGUCUGGGAAGCUGCCUGAUGGAGGGGGAUAACUACUGGAAACGGUAGCUAAUACCGCAUAAUGUCGCAAGACCAAAGAGGGGGACCUUCGGGCCUCUUGCCAUCGGAUGUGCCCAGAUGGGAUUAGCUUGUUGGUGGGGUAACGGCUCACCAAGGCGACGAUCCCUAGCUGGUCUGAGAGGAUGACCAGCCACACUGGAACUGAGGCACGGUCCAGACUCCUACGGGAGGCAGCAGUGGGGAAUAUUGCACAAUGGGCGCAAGCCUGAUGCAGCCAUGCCGCGUGUAUGAAGAAGGCCUUCGGGUUGUAAAGUACUUUCAGCGGGGAGGAAGGGAGUAAAGUUAAUACCUUUGCUCAUUGACGUUACCCGCAGAAGAAGCACCGGCUAACUCCGUGCCAGCAGCCGCGGUAAUACGGAGGGUGCAAGCGUUAAUCGGAAUUACUGGGCGUAAAGCGCACGCAGGCGGUUUGUUAAGUCAGAUGUGAAAUCCCCGGGCUCAACCUGGGAACUGCAUCUGAUACUGGCAAGCUUGAGUCUCGUAGAGGGGGGUAGAAUUCCAGGUGUAGCGGUGAAAUGCGUAGAGAUCUGGAGGAAUACCGGUGGCGAAGGCGGCCCCCUGGACGAAGACUGACGCUCAGGUGCGAAAGCGUGGGGAGCAAACAGGAUAGAUACCCUGGUAGUCCACGCCGUAAACGAUGUCGACUUGGAGGUUGUGCCCUUGAGGCGUGGCUUCCGGAGCUAACGCGUUAAGUCGACCGCCUGGGGAGUACGGCCGCAAGGUUAAAACUCAAAUGAAUUGACGGGGGCCCGCACAAGCGGUGGAGCAUGUGGUUUAAUUCGAUGCAACGCGAAGAACCUUACCUGGUCUUGACAUCCACGGAAGUUUUCAGAGAUGAGAAUGUGCCUUCGGGAACCGUGAGACAGGUGCUGCAUGGCUGUCGUCAGCUCGUGUUGUGAAAUGUUGGGUUAAGUCCCGCAACGAGCGCAACCCUUAUCCUUUGUUGCCAGCGGUCCGGCCGGGAACUCAAAGGAGACUGCCAGUGAUAAACUGGAGGAAGGUGGGGAUGACGUCAAGUCAUCAUGGCCCUUACGACCAGGGCUACACACGUGCUACAAUGGCGCAUACAAAGAGAAGCGACCUCGCGAGAGCAAGCGGACCUCAUAAAGUGCGUCGUAGUCCGGAUUGGAGUCUGCAACUCGACUCCAUGAAGUCGGAAUCGCUAGUAAUCGUGGAUCAGAAUGCCACGGUGAAUACGUUCCCGGGCCUUGUACACACCGCCCGUCACACCAUGGGAGUGGGUUGCAAAAGAAGUAGGUAGCUUAACCUUCGGGAGGGCGCUUACCACUUUGUGAUUCAUGACUGGGGUGAAGUCGUAACAAGGUA